CAGUGGCGAAGCUGAUCCAGCCAUGCCGCGUGUGUGAGAAGGUCUUCGGAUUGUAAAGCUCUUUAAGUUGGGAGGAAGGGCAGUAAGUUAAUACCUUGCUGUUUUGACGUUACCAACACAAUAAGCCCCGGCUAACUUCGUGCCAGCAGCCGCGGUAAUUA
rnacentral:rRNA from 1 species